UACCAGCAGGUCCUUUCUUGAGGCAACAAACACAAUAAAAAAAUCAGCUAUAAAAAUAACACUUUGUCAUAAUUUUACCUACAAGUUCAAGCCCUCAUCAUUGUCAUUAAUUAAAACGCCACAGACCUUCCUUUCCCUUUGCUAAGAUAUUCUCACACUGGCGUACAAAGCACCAAGACGCACGUCAGCCACAACGCACACAAAUCCAUCACUCAGCCUCGGCCCGUUAGUCUUGCCAAGCCUUGCCGCCGGGACUGGAACCAGAGUGGUCUAUUUGCAUUUCAACACCCUGCUUUUGUUUUCCGUCCCUCCAGAGGCUCGCCCCGUUUAAAAGCAGGUGAGGCGGUGAGAUCAUUCUAAUGACCCUAGAAAACUCCAAGGGGGAAACUUGUGCAAACAGUGCAGUUAUUUUAGUGAAAAACCACCUCUUACUUCAGUCGAGCCUACCAAGCCCAAGCUAGACCGUCUUGUUAAAGAUUUACCUUGGAUUGUUCUCAAUUCUCUCUCUACCCCAGAGCAGGAAGAGUGAUGGAGGGGCGGGAGUGGGGGGCCCUCCUGGAAUCGCUCCUCAAUAAAUAUCAAUGAAAUGCUCAGAUGUUCACAGGGAUACACGGGUCACCAUAUCGCAUCUGCUUCUGAGAGGGACAGCCUCUAUCAUUUCUGCUGCAGGAGCUCCCCUAUAGAGCUCUAACAAGAGUAACAGAGAAACGCCUGUUAGGUGAGGGAGUUAUAGAGAAAAUCAGGGAAAGGGGCCCACCAUCUAGGACCGAAGGACGCCAGGUCCAGAUGCUGGUGGGCGAGAGUUCCCCCACACCCUCUCACGUGGCCACAUGGUCACCAGAUCCGAAGGCAGCUUUCCAAAAGUUCACUGAUCCAGAAGGUGGUGGGGGCAGAUAAAUAUUUCCCAAACUGCAGACUUUAACAGGCAAAUGCCUCAGAGUCCAUGUGGAAGGUCAGUGUUUGGGGAAAGACUGUAAUUAUAAUGAGGUCACAGAAUCCCAGAUUAGAGUUGGAAGAGCCAGCAAAGUCCGUUCCUCGAGGCCUGUAGGGACAGGCCAGUUGAUGAUGGGCCUGGGAGCAGGGGGCGGGUCUCUGGGCUCUAGCCACAGGCUCUCUGGAGUCCGGGUACCAAACCUACCGAGGCAGCAUCUGAAGACUUGGUAGAGUCCUCGGAUCCCAGGACUCGGCAAGUCAGCCCAGGAUGAGACGUUUCUGCCUGCGUUUUGGAGGCCUGACCCGCCGCCAGCACCCUUGAGCGGACCGGCCAUUGGCUCCUGGACAAGUACCUGCUUCUCCCACCUGCCUGCUCUCCAGCUCUGCCUGUUCUCAGGAACCUGACCCGCCACCCCCACCCCCACCCCCAGCCUGCUCCCUCCUCUUGACCAACUCUCUGCUUCUUGCCCUUCUCUCCUCCCUCAGUAGACUCUGGGAUCCGUAAUCACCUCCCUCUGGCCAAUCCCUUUGUGUUUCCCACGAAGCGGAGCUGGAAGCCAUCAGCCCUGGAGGGACUCGAGCACCUCUUUCCCCUCAGCUUGCAGAUUCUCCAAAUGCUAUGCUCCAAUACUCCAGCCACCUGAUGCCAAGAGCCGACUCACUGGAAAAGACCCUGAUGCUGGGGAAGAUUGAACGCGGGACGAGAAGGGGACGACGAGGAUGAGAUGGUUGGAUGGCAUCGCUGAAUCCACGGACACGAGUUUCAGCAAGCUCUGGGAGUUGGUGACGGACAGGGAGGCCUGGCGUGCUGCAGUCCACGGGGUCGCAAGGAGCCAGACACGACUGAGUGGCUGACAACAAUGUGCUAAAGACAAUACAGUUGGCCUUCAGGUCUGAAGGUGCUGCUGCCAAGAGCGCUAAUUUUAUGCUGAAAUGUUUGCCGUCAGCAAACAGUCAUGGCCAGCGCAUUCCAGGCCAGUCCCUAGGCCUGGGCCAACUUCCUCUUAACCCGCUGGGCAGGAGCGAAGGCUCUUCUCCCUUUUCCCCUUGGUUCUGUGUUCACCAUAUUAAUGAGGAACGAGGAUGGCCUAAGUAAAUUCAAGCCACAGGUAGCUACAAGGUCUUCAUUCUAUAGGCCAGAAAUAGUUUUCGCCCGGAGCCCUAACUGUACAGGCUGUGAAGCCUUUCGGUGGAAGUGGAAGACUGUACACAUCGCUUUCUGUCUCACAUCCUGUUCUCCGCUGCUGCCUGACAGCGCCACCAGUGAAGAGGAAACCUGUAUAUUUGGCUACAAAAAUGUAGAUGUGACUGGUGUCACCCGGCAGACAAAAAACUUGAAAACUCCCAGGGACUCUGGGACUCCUAUUUCCAACAUCCCUGCUCGUCAGAGGGGGAACCCAGGUCAAGCAGUCUGCUGCAAAGCUCAGGUGCUGUGAUGUGUGCAAGCAUCCUGACGUCCCUGCCAUCCUGAUGCUUUCACGGAAACAUGAUUAUCCUCUGGGUGAUGCAGGGGGCAGGGAGGGAGACAGAGAAAGAGAGAAAGAAUUUCUACGGAAGGCCUGCAGAUGACUCUUCUGAUGCUAUUCACAGUUAUGAUUUGCAAAUUACUUUUCAAAAUUACUUCUCUCAAAAUACCCAGACACCUGGCCACAGGCUGCCAACCUAAUGCUAAAAUAGGCACCUUGACCAGCUCACCCCAGGACUUCACCACUCAGCUGCCUUUGACCACAGAUGAUCUCUGCCAAAAGAAAUACGAACAGCUCUGGGAAAUGAUUACAAAAGUUGGGAUGGGUCCAAGCUUUUCAAAAGUGAUGGUCGGUUGUUUGGAAUAUCCCAUGGCCAGGACGUUUUUCUCAACAAGUCAGCUCUGUGUAAUGAAAGCAAUUAGGAGAAAUUCAGAUGGGCCCAGGACUCUCUCUCUGCCUAAUAUGGGAAUAAUAAUUAACUGCCCAGAAUCGGAGUGCUGGCUCACAGCUGAUGAGUCACCUUUCAAGUUGUGCAAAGAAAAGGUCAGACCUUUUGUAAAGCAAUUUAAUGGUGUGUAUCAAGAGUCAUAAAAAUGUCUGUUCCCUUUGACACAGGAAGCUUACAGCUGGAAACAGACCUGCAGAGAUGAGCCAAAAGAAAAAGAUGUUCCCU